rnacentral:rRNA from 1 species
GACGAACGCUGGCGGCGUGCCUAAUAAAUGCAAGUCGAGCGAACCAAUAGGAGCUUGCUCCUGUUGGUUAGCGGCGGACGGGUGAGUAACACGUGGGCAACCUGCCUGUAAGACUGGGAUAACACCGGGAAACCGGUGCUAAUACCGGAUAAUCUUUUUCCUCUCAUGAGGAAAAACUGAAAGUCGGUUUCGGCUGACACUUACAGAUGGGCCCGCGGCGCAUUAGCUAGUUGGUGAGGUAACGGCUCACCAAGGCGACGAUGCGUAGCCGGCCUGAGAGGGUGAUCGGCCACACUGGGACUGAGACACGGCCCAGACUCCUACGGGAGGCAGCAGUAGGGAAUCUUCCACAAUGGACGAAAGUCUGAUGGAGCAACGCCGCGUGAGCGAUGAAGGCCUUCGGGUCGUAAAGCUCUGUUGUUAGGGAAGAACAAGUACCGGAGUAACUGCCGGUGCCUUGACGGUACCUAACCAGAAAGCCACGGCUAACUACGUGCCAGCAGCCGCCGUAA